rnacentral:misc_RNA from 1 species
AUAAAUUGAGAUAUUAAGACCACCAACUUUGUUAUAUAUUUUUUAGAGUACAUUUAUCAUCUAAUUACGUAGCAUGCCAUAGUUCUCUUGGAAUUUUACUAUAUCUCAUCUAAGAUAUUGAGAACUUCUCGCUUUGGUUUAGGUAAUCCUUUAUGGGGAUGUUUUUAACUAUUGGCUAAACUACAGUAUGAUAACAUUUUAACGAUCCUUAUUUAUUUUGUUCAUUUAAUUACACUGUUUCUAAUGAAUUAUUG